GGAUGCGAUCAUACGAGCACUAAUACACUGGAUCCCAUCAAAACUCCGCAGUUAAGCGUGCUUGGAGAGAUUAGUACUAGGAUGGGUGACCUCCCGAGAAGUCCUCGUGUUGCAUCCC